UUAAUUAAGUACUGUUUUUAGUUCAUUUGUGCUUUAAUGUCUCUUUGAUCUUCUAUCACUUCUUGACUAAAGAGUUGAAUGCACUGAAGCAACAGCUACAGAGGACAGAGGCAGAACUGAGACAUAUGAUGAAACAGAAUGAAGAACUGGAGGAGAAAGUUUCAGAGUUGGAUACAACAGAGCAACAACAACAGAGGACAGAGGGAGGACAGAGAGAUGUGAUGAAACAGAAUGAAGAACUGCAGAAGAAAGUUUCAGAGUUGAAUGCAC